rnacentral:tRNA from 2 species
GGAGAGGUGACCGAGCGGUCGAAGGUGCACGACUGGAAAUCGUGUGUGCCCGCGAGGGUACCGGGGGUUCGAAUCCCUUCCUCUCCGCCA